rnacentral:rRNA from 1 species
AGUGAACGCUGGCGGUAGGCCUAACACAUGCAAGUCGAACGGCAGCACAGUAAGAGCCUGCUCUUACGGGUGGCGAGUGGCGGACGGGUGAGGAAUACAUCGGAAUCUACUUUUUCGUGGGGGAUAACGUAGGGAAACUUACGCUAAUACCGCAUACGACCUACGGGUGAAAGCAGGGGAUCUUCGGACCUUGCGCGAUUGAAUGAGCCGAUGUCGGAUUAGCUAGUUGGCGGGGUAAAGGCCCACCAAGGCGACGAUCCGUAGCUGGUCUGAGAGGACGAUCAGCCACACUGGAACGGAGACACGGUCCAGGCUCCUACGGGAGGCAGCAGUGGGGAAUAUUGGACAAUGGGCGGAAGCCUGAUCCAGCCAUACCGCGUGGGUGAAGAAGGCCUUCGGGUUGUAAAGCCCUUUUGUUGGGAAAGAAAAGCAGCAGGUUAAUACCCCGCUGUUCUGACGGUACCCAAAGAAUAAGCACCGGCUAACUUCGUG